GGAUAUGAGGGCGAUUUGGCUGUGACAUCUGUCACCCCACUGAUCGCCAGGGUUGAUACGGCAGAUCUGGCUGGCUAAGCGGGUGUCCCCUUCCUCCCUCACUGCCCCAUGUGUGCCCCUCCCGAGAGUGCGUGCUCGGUGGAAAAGGACGACCACCCCCAAUAGAGGAGGACUGUUCUUUGGUCAAGGGUAUACAAGUACCUGCACUCUCCUGCUAGAACCUCCAAACAAACUCUCAAAGUAGUAGUCACCAUGUUGUAUUCACAUAUAUUCAUGUUUCCAU
ensembl:misc_RNA 7SK 7SK RNA